rnacentral:tRNA from 1 species
AGUCAUGGUGUAGUGGUGUGCACUCUAGACUGGGAAUCCAGCGAUCGGAGUUCAAAUUUCAGUGGGACUU